UUUCCUCCUCCUCUAACUUUCUACGUUCUUCUGGAUCCAAGUCAAGACCUUCUUCCAGCAACUGUCAAACCCCUCUCAGUACUCUGGCACUCUCCUGCGUCGUUUCUUAAUUGCACAAUGCGCAGGUUAAAACUUAAACCGACUCCCACAAUACAUAUAUUGUGGACCAUGCACCACCUGCUGCUGGAGGUGGAAGUGGUGGAGGGCACCCUGCAGGGCCUGGAGUCUGGACGGAUGUUCCCCCUCAGCCGUGGGAUCCCCAACAUGCUGCUGAGUGAAGACGAAUCUGAGAGUUGAUUGUGCCAGGCGCCAGUUUUUCUUGUUAUGACCGUGUGUAUUUUUAUUGCGUAUCCCCAACCCUUGACCCAGUAACACACCAAACACACAGUGCUCUUGAGCUCCGUAGUAUAUAUUUUUUUCUCAUUAAAGGUUCAAAUCCAAAAACAACAACAACAACAACAACAACAACAACAACAACAAAAACUGUUAGAUGUCCCACAGCGCCCUUACAAUCUAUUCAGUUUUCUUCAAUCUUUUUUUUUCUGUUGCUCAGACUCAAUAAUUUCAAUUGUGUCAUCUUCAAGUUCACUGAUUCUUUCUUCUUCUUGGUCAAACUGCCUUUGAAUUCCUAAUGAAUUAUUCUUCUCUUUUUUUUUUUUUUUUUAAAACAAGGUCUUGCUCUGUCACUCAGGCUAGAGUGCAUUGGUGCAAUCCCAGUUCACUGUAACCUCUGCCUCCUGGGUUCAAGUAAUUCUCCUGCCUCAGCCUCCUGAGUAUCUGGAACUAUAGGCAUGAGCUACCAGGCCUGGCUAAUUUUUUGUAUUUUUAGUAGAGACAGGGUCUCACCAUGUUGCCUAGGCUGGUCUCAAACUCCUGAGCUCAGGUAAUACACCCACCUUGGCCUUCCAAAGUACUGGGGUUGUAGGCUUGAGCCACUGAGCCCAGCCCCUAGUGAAUUUUUCUUUCUUUUUUCUUUUUUCAAAUUAUUUAUUUAUUUAUUUUGAGACAGAGUCUCACUCUGUUGCCCAGGCAGGAGUGCAGUGGUGUGCUCUUGGCUCACUGCAACCUCCCAUUUCAUAUUUCAAAACAAUAAAAUAUCUCCAUGUAAAUCUCUGCAAAAUUCUUAAUAGCUUGACCUUACACCAGUUAAAUAUUUUUAAGUAAAUGACAAGUAAUACAUUAAUGGGGAAAAAAGGAUGUCUAUUUUUGACAACAGCAAGACAUUUUUCUAUUAACAUGUUAUUGUAUUGAGGGGGCAGAAUGUUUUGUUUUCCACAUUGCAAAGAAAAGCCAUCUUAAGAAAGAAACUAUAUCUUUUUGCAAAUGCAUCAAUAUUGUGACUGUGCUCUAUGCCAAAAUUCCUUAACAUUGGCUACAUGUACAGGCUGAAAAGACACAUGUUGAAAAGAGACAUGUCUGGUACCAGGCCCAGAGAUUCUGAUUGGAUGGUCUGGGGUGUGACUGGUCUUUGGGAUUUCUAAAUGUUUCCCGAGUAAUUCUAAUGACCAUAGGAAUCCCUGUUCUUUGCUUUUUUUCUCGGAUGACAAUGAGCAUGCUACUUAAGAUAUGGCUGCUCAGAAUUUUUUACAGUUUUCUUUUAUGACAGAGCUCAUGAUUUCUGCAUGCACAUUUAUCCUUACAUUAUAAUUCCAGGCAUAUUGUCACAUGCCAUAUGUUUUAUGUGAGCAGAGAAGGUAUUUUUUCAUUCUUGCAAGGAAAAUAUUGGAUUACUUUUAAGGAGGUCAUGGUGGUUCAAGAAUCAUUUGGGGAUCACUUGCAGAUGGAAUGACAUAGUGAGUUCAAUGUAAUUUCUGAUGCAUGAGGAUCCAGAAAGCACAGCCCUAACAGUUGCUCAUUUUCCCACUUAAGGCUGCAAUCUUAGCCAAGAAGCAAAUACUAGAUCAAGAUUAAAAGUAACCUAAGCCCUCUUUUAAGAAGUAUUCUCUUUAGUGCAAAAUUGAGGCCAAUAGCAGCAGCACGAAGGCAGUUCUUUUCCGAACACACUAACUUUGAAGCUGAAUAAAAGGCUUCAUUUUCCAGAGCUGUCAGUCUGGUGCCUUUCUCAACAAUUAGAUUUACUAAAGAAUUUUAUAGAGAAAAAAGAGAGAGAGAGAAAUUAAGCAAAAUGUCCAGAUGUCAUCUGUUAAAAAUGCUUUAUUGAGACAAUAAACAAAUAACAUCAACAAGUACUAAAAUUUUAAUUAAAAUAUGAUUUACAAUGUUGCUAUACACCACUAGAAGCAUUCUUAUUGAUGGGAAAUAAGAUUGCUUUGCUUGUAUCCUUAGGACACUCAAACACCCCAUUUGACUUUGUGGGUCUCCUAUCCAAGUCUUAUAAUAUCUUUUCCAUGCCCAUGAGCAUGAACAUUUUCUUCAGCAGUUUAAAACACAAUGGCAGUAUCAAUCGUUCCCUUUCAUUGCUGGCUACAUCACUGAAGACAUGUAUAUUAUGUUCUCUUGCCUUCUGCUCAGAAAAAUCUAAGUAUUGCAUUUCUGUCAAUUCAUUGAUUGAAGAGCUUCCCCUCAGAAUGUUGACAGCUGUUUCAGACAUUUAUAAAAUAACUUGGAUAACAGCUGCAAAUGGAUUGGCUAAAGAAGAUUUUGAACCAUGUAAUUAGCAUUCAUCAGAUGCACACAUUUCCAUUGAAAAACCUCUUCAACCCAAAAGUUGACUAUCAGGAAACUGAUAAUUCUUGCUAAGUCCCCAAACAGGACUUGCUAAUACUUAACUCUCCAUUAGCUGAUUUUAGACGGAGCAUAUUAAUGUAGUUACUAUUAAAUAACUUAAUGCUAAAUGCUAUCUGUAACUAACACUGCUUUAAUUUUUGUCCUUUAUCCAUCUAGACACCCAUCCAAGUAAGACUAAUAUGAGGUGAAAAAAUUAAACACAUAUAUCACACACAAAUAUAAAAAAGAUGAUAGCUUAUUGUGGUGGGUGAUGAUCUCUCUCACUCUCUCUUUUUUUUAAACAGUUUCCCAGGCUGGAGUACAGUGGCAUGAUCUCAGCUCACUGCAGCCCUUACCUCCCGGGUUCAAGUGAUUCUCCUGCCUCAGCCUCCUGAGUAGCGUGUGCCACCACCCCCAACUAAUUUUUGUAUUUUUAUUUGAGAUAGGGUUUCAUCAUGUUGGCCAGGAUUGUCUUGAUUUGCUGACCUCAUGAUCCACCUGCCUCAGCCUCUCAAAGUGCUGGGAUUAAAGGCAUGAGCCGCUGCACCUGUUCGAUGAUCUCUUAAUGAUAUAAUGCACUGAUAACUCCUGUGUACUUGAGCAUAUGUAAUUCCCCAGAUAUAACAUGGAAAUAAACUUAGUCGCCUAAUUAAUUAUCUUUAUGCACAUAAAAAUAGUAGGACACAAAAAUGUGUAUUUUAAUCACCACUGUAUUAAGAAGUACAUUAAAAUUCUGGAGGUAGACACUCAAAUAUUAGUAAUUGUUGCUUAGUGUGACAUGAAUAUAAAAGAUUUUUUCUUCUUCCUAUAUAUUGUAAAUAUAGUAUUUGAAUAUGUAAUUCUUAUAUAAUUGAAAAAGUAAACUUUAUAUUAGAGUG